rnacentral:tRNA from 5 species
CUCAGUUGGUUAGAGCACAUCACUCAUAAUGAUGGGGUCACAGGUUCGAAUCCCGUCGUAGCCACCA